AAAAAUUACAUGUGAAUGUGAACACAACACGUACUGAUCAAUGAAGGUAAAACAAAGUCUCUGGAUCCUUUCCACGAUUUUGGUAGGACUGUAUAUUAGAACCUGUAUAUCGGAAUCACAUGAACACACUAAUAUUGUUUUUAAGUAUGAGCCGGAUUCGCAAAUGUUUGGAGUGAUUCUUGAUAUACUUCAUGGCACCAAAAAUUGUUAUGCCUACAACAUGACGAUAGCAGAGCACUCAGUUAUACACAUGCCCGACGGUUUAGCAUCAAUUGAGGCGAAGGUGUUAAAUUUGAUAGCAACCAGUACCAAUCUACCAAAUGUAACUCACGCAGAAAUAAGCUCACGGUUUAGCAGAAAUUUUGCGCAUUUCUGUAAAAAUCAUGUAUUAUAUCUUUUAAACUGAUUUUUAGAACUAUAAUAUAGACAAAACGUAUGAAUUA